rnacentral:rRNA from 1 species
GACGAACGCUGGCGGCGUGCUUAACACAUGCGAGUCGAACGGAGAGGCCUCUUUCGGGGGGUACUCGAGUGGCGAACGGGUGAGUAACACGUGAGUAACCUGCCCUUGACUUUGGGAUAACUUCAGGAAACUGGGGCUAAUACCGGAUAGGAGCUCCUGCUGCAUGGUGGGGGUUGGAAAGUUUCGGCGGUUGGGGAUGGACUCGCGGCUUAUCAGCUUGUUGGUGGGGUAGUGGCUUACCAAGGCUUUGACGGGUAGCCGGCCUGAGAGGGUGACCGGCCACAUUGGGACUGAGAUACGGCCCAGACUCCUACGGGAGGCAGAAGUGGGGAAGAUUGCACAAUGGGUGGAAGCCUGAUGCAGCAACGCCGUGUGCGGGAUGACGGCCUUCGGGUUGUAAAACGCUUUCGCUCAUGACGAAGCUUUGUGUGACGGUAGUGGGUAAAGAAGCACCGGCUAACUACGUG